rnacentral:rRNA from 1 species
AUGCCUGCCCUCGCCAAGCCCGCUGCCCGCCCGGCCAAGCCCGCCGCCGCGGCGCCGAAGCCGAAGCCCGCCGCCGCCAAGCCCAAGGCGGCCGCCGCUGGAGCCGCCCACCCGACCUACUUCGAGAUGAUCAAGGAGGCGAUCGCGGCGCUCAAGGACAGGACUGGGUCGAGCUCGGUCGCCAUCGCCAAGUACAUCGAGGAGAAGCACGGCAAGGCUCUCCCGGCCAACUUCAAGAAGAUGCUCUCCGUCCAGCUCCGCUCCUCCGCCGCCAAGGGCAAGCUCGUCAAGGUCAAGGCCUCCUACAAGCUCUCCGACGCCGCCAAGAAGGACUCCCCCAAGCCCAAGGCCAAGCCCGCCGCCCCCAAGGCUGCGGCGAAGCCCGCAAAGGACGCCGCCAAGCCCAAGAAGAAGGCCUCCGCGAAGCCCAAGAAGGCCGCCGCCGCUGGCACGAAGCGCAAGGCACCCGAGAAGAAGAAGCUGGUCGCCAAAGCCAAGAAGUCGCCCGCGGCGAAGGCCAAGGCGAAGCCGAAGACCGUCCGCUCCCCGGCCGCCAAGAAGGCCCGCAAGGUCGCCUCCGCUUGA